UGGUGAAACCGAAAGUGUUUCAGCUGCGACGCCAUUUUGUGGAAGUGUUACAAUACAAUGUUCUUAUAUCAAGGAAAGUUGAAUGCAGAAAAUGAGAUAUUAAUGUAACAGGUAAGUGAUUUAUUUAAUUUUUUUUAUUAUUAAUGUAAGAGGAAUGAGGAUAUAUUAUGAAUAAAACUCGUGUAAAACGCAGUAUUAUCUGUAUUAUGACUGUAAGGUUGGAAGGAUGGACGGAGACAUGGCGAGUUCAUUACUGACGUUUAAUGAUAAACACAAACAACCUGAACAAAAUAACCGGGUGAUAAACAAACUUUUAAUGAAACUAAACAACAGAUGCGUGACCAAAGUGCAGCGCAUUCUAGGAAAUUAACUUAAAUAAUAAUAAUAAUUAAAAAAACGACAACACAUGGUCGCAAGGCGCCCUCUAGCGGUUUCCCCUGACAGCGAUAUAACGUGUUACAAUAGUGUACAUUUAAUUGCAAGUUUUUUGGUUUUUGUUUAAUAUAACAAAUUUAAAGUAAGUAAAAAUUUACAUUUUCAAUGUACUCAUUCAGUGUAAAAGUGCGCCCUCUGCAGGACGUGUAGCCUCACAUUUUAUAACAGAUUUUAAAGCUUACAUGACCUGGAUGUUACUGAAAUGAAAAUAUAAUCUGUAUAUUAGAAAUGUUUAAUUGGGAACUGUUUUUACAUAAUUUUUAAUAUAUCAACUUUAAAACCUUUUUUUUAACAUUAGGACAUUUACAGAUAUAUUCGACUACAGUAUGUUAAGACAUGCAGUGCUGUGAAAAAGUAUUUAAUCCCCUUCCUGAAGUUAAAUUUUUUGCAUAUUUGUCCCAUUAAAUAAUUAACAUCAACAAAUAAAUUUGAAUAUUACACAAAGAUAACCCUAAGUAAAUUAAAAAUAAAGAUUUUAAUUAUUUCAUUUAUUAGGAGAGAAAGCUCUCCAAAUCUAACUCACUCACUCAUCUUCUAUACCGCUUUAUCCUGUAUUCAGGGUCGGGGGGGCCUGGAGCCUAUCCCAGGUGAUUUAGGGCACGAGGCGGGAUACACCCGGGACAGGGUGCCAAUCCAUCACAAGGCAUGCACACACGCACACGCACACACACACACACACACACACACUACAGGCAAUUUGGGAAUACCCGGCCCUAUAUGAAGAAAUAAUUGCCCCCAUGCUAAAUUAAGUGAACUAUGAUUUUUGAAAAGCUGAGUUAAAUUUCUCUUGCCACACCCAGGCCUGAUUACUGCCAGACCUGUUAAAUCAAGAAAUCAUGUAAAUAGAACCUGUCUGACAAAGUAAAGCAUGUUAAAGGUGGCACAACCAAUUAUUGAGUUUAGUGGCACUUAUCUCCAGCCUUCAUAACACCUUCUGGGUGUCCAAGAGCAGGACAUGAUUCAUUGUGUUUUUGUCAGAGUUUUGGAAGACUCACAAUAUAAGACAAUUUACUUUUUUUUUUGUCUUCUUUGCAGUAUAGUCACAUCCUUUAUUUAUUGCAUCCUCUCUUUUAUUAGUAUUUGCUGGUUAUAUUCUUGCUGGUUUAUUCUCUCUAUUACUACUUAAGUACAGUUUCGUUCCCAUCUGUACAAUCAUCAUGCAUGUGUACAUAGAAGUGGUUUUUAACUUUUCCUUUUUCCUCACUGCAAUUCUGGCUCGUUGCCUAUUUGUUGUAUAAUAUGUGAACUGAAUACUGUAACGAUGCAAUUUCCUUUUGGGGUUAAUAAAGUAUUCUCUCUCUCUGUCUGUCUCUCUCUCUAUCUAAGGUGUCCAGGCCGAUUACUUAAUUCUGUAACACAGAUUUUUUUUUUAUAUCAUUGUUCUUUAGGUCAAAUAUGUAAAAUUUAUUUUGUGGAAGUUUAACUACAAACUUGUUUUUUGUAUUUUUCAGGAGUGUAAUUCACUGAAAUCAGACACUUCAGGAUCUCAACAGCUAGUUUGUGUAUAAUGUUCAGAGAUGGAGACCCCUGAUCUGGACACUGAUAAUGUGCCCCCACCCUCUAAAAUACAUAAACUCCAGGGAGAGAGAUCAGAAUCAGCAGCACCCAGCUGUAUCUCCAUUAAGAGUGAUGCGUCUUUGGAUCGUCUUAUUGAUUUUAAAGCUGGAGACUCCUCACAUCUACACAGUAAACUCCAGAGAAAGAGAUCAGGAUCAGCAGCACCCAGCUGUAUCUCCAUGAAGAGUGAUGAGUCUAUGGGUCGCCUUAUUGAUUUUAAAGCUGGAGACUCCUCAGCUUCACACAGUGAUCUACAGAAGGCAGGAGACAGAACAGGAAAGAACCUCAUCACAGAUACAGGGCACGACCCAGAAUCUGCUGCUGUAAAUGAAUUCCAGAAAACAUUAAAAUUAAAUCUGAUGAAGAAGUUUCAGUUCUUGAAUGGAGUGAUGAUAAACCUGGGAACACAAACACUCCUAAAUAAGAUCUACACAGAACUCUACAUCACAGAGGGAGACAGUGAAGAAGUCAAUAAUGAACAUGAGGUGAGACAGAUCAAAGCAGCGUCCAGGAGAACAUCAACAGAGGAAACACCAAUCAAAUGCAAUGACAUCUUUAAGCCCUUAUCUGAACAAGACGAACCCAUCAGAUCUGUGCUGACAAAGGGAGUCGCUGGCAUCGGAAAAACUGUCUCUGUGCAGAAGUUCAUUCUGGACUGGGCUGAAGGGAAAGCAAAUCAGGACGUCCACCUCAUAUUUCCACUUCCUUUUAGAGAACUGAAUUUGAUAAAGGACCAGAAACUGAGUCUGAUGGAGCUCCUUCAUGUCUGUUUUAAAAAGAAAGAAACCGAAAUGUCCAUUUGGGAAAAGGUUCUGUUUAUUUUUGAUGGAUUGGACGAGUAUCGUUUUCCUCUAGAUUUCCAGAACACAGUGAGAGUGUGUGAUGUAACUGAAUCUGCAUCAGUGCCUGUGCUGCUGAUAAACCUGAUCAAGGGGAAUCUGCUUCCCUCUGCUCUCAUCUGGAUCACCUCCCGACCAGCAGCAGCUGAUCAAAUCCCCUCUGAGUGUGUCCAUCGAGUCACAGAGGUACGAGGGUUCAAUGACCCACAGAAGGAGGAGUACUUCAGGAAGAGGAUCAGUGAUCAGAGCCUGGCCAAUAACAUCGUUACACACCUGAAGUCAUUAAGAAGCCUCUACAUCAUGUGUCACAUUCCAGUCUUCUGCUGGAUUUCAGCCGCUGUUCUAGAAAGAAUGUUGUGUGAAACAGAGAGAGGAGAGAUCCCCAAGACUCUGACUCAAAUGUACACAAACUUUCUCAUUAUUCAGAUAAACAUCACUAGAGAAAAGUACUCAAAGAAGCAGCAGAAUGAUGAUGAAAUGCUUCUUAAACUGGGACAACUGGCUUUUGAGCAGCUGGAGGAAGGCAACCCAAUCUUCUAUGAUGAAGACCUGAGAAAGUGUGGCAUUGAUGUGAGAGAAGCAGCAGUGUACUCAGGUGUGUGUACGCAGAUCUUCAGAGAGGAGUUUGGGCUUCACCAGAGUAAAGUGUAUUGCUUUGUUCAUCUGAGCAUUCAGGAACACCUCGCAGCUCUGUAUGUGCACCUGAUGUUCAGGAUAAAGAAGAGAAAUGUUCUUAAAAAGAGUCCAGCUUCAGAACAGAAGAAGAAGGAAAUCAAAGUUUUAGAUUUCCACAAGUGUGCUGUAGAUAAAGCUUUAAAAAGUCAGACUGGACAUUUGGAUCUUUUCCUUCGCUUUCUUCUGGGUCUCUCACUGAAGUCCAAUCAGAAACUCUUACAGGUCUUAGUAACACAGACAGGAAGUAGCUCCCAGAGCACAGAGGAAACAGUUCAAUAUAUUAAGAUGAGAAUCAGUGAAGAGCGUUCUACAGAGAAAUCCAUCAAUCUGUUCCACUGUCUGAAUGAACUGGGUGAUAAUUCUCUAGAGGAGGAAAUCCAACACUAUCUGAAAUCUGGAAAACAAAGUGAACUCUCUUCAUCACAGUGGUCUGCUCUGGUGUUUGUCUUACUGACAUCAGCACAGGAGCUGGAGGAAUUUGACCUGAAUAACUAUAUCAGUCCAGAUAAGAUAACAUAUAAUGUCCUUCAGAAGUUGAUGCCUGUGAUUGCAGCAUCCAGGAAAGCAACUAUCAGGUGUGAUAAAGUUGGAGUGAAAGGUUGUUUAGCUCUGGGCUCAGCGCUCAACUCAGAAACCUCCAAUCUGAGAGAACUACAACUGACUGUGAAAACACUGGAUCUGUCCUACAAUACACUAGGAGACUCAGGAGUAAAGACUCUCUCUGCUGUACUGGAGAAUCCUCACAGUAAAGUGCAAAGUCUGAGGUUGUCUAAUUGUGGUGUCUCAGAUGAAGGCUGUGCUGCUCUGACUUCAGCUCUGAGAUCAAACCCCUCACACCUGAGAGUACUGGAUCUGUCCUAUAAUAAAGUAGAAGACUCAGGAGUGAAGUGUCUCUGUGCUGUACUGGAGAAUCCUGACUGUAAACUGGAGACACUGAGGUUGUGUGAUUGUGGUGUCUCAGAUGAAGGCUGUGCUGCUCUGACUUCAGCUCUGAGAUCAAACCCCUCACACCUGAGAGAACUGAAUCUGUCCUGGAAUAAAGUAGGAGACUCAGAAGUGAAGUGUCUCUGUGCUGUACUGGAAAAUCCUCACUGUAAACUGGAGAAACUAAGGUUGAAAUGGUGUGGUGUCUCAGAUGAAGGCUGUGCUGCUCUGACGUCAGCUCUGAGAUCAAACCCCUCACACCUGAGAGAACUGGAUCUGUCUAAUAAUAAAGUAGGAGACUCAGGAGUGAAGCGUCUCUGUGCUGUACUGGAAAAUCCUCACUGUAAACUGGAGACACUGGGGUUGUGGGAUUGUAGUGUCUCAGAUGAAGGUUGUGCUACUCUGACUUCAGCUCUGAGAUCAAACCCCUCACACCUGAGAGAGCUGGAUCUGUCCUUGAAUAAUAAAAUAGGAGACUCAGGAAAGAAGCUGCUCUCUGCUCUUAAGGAUGAUGAACAUUACAAACUACAGACACUGAGUUUGUGAUGAAGAUGCUGGUGUCCCUGCAGUUCCAUGUUGGUGAUAGAGAACAUGCCUAUAAUACAUCAUUCGGCCAGGCAGCGUCUCUACCACCAAAGACGCUUGAGAGACUUCAGACUGCCCUCCAAGGUACUCAGGAAUUUCUACUCCUGCAGAAUACAGUAUAGAGCAUCCUUACGGGAAACAUUUCAACCUGGUUCAGGAAUAGCACCAUGCAGGACAGACGAGCUCUACAGAGGGUGGUGCGAUCAGCUGAGUGCAUCAUCCGCACCGAGCUCCCUGACCUGAACUCAAUCUACAGCAAGCGGUUCUGGACCAUGACCAGGAAGAUCGUGAAGAACCUCAGCCAUCCCAACCAUGGACUGUUCUCUCUGUUGCGGUCUGGAAAGCGAUUCCGGUCCCUGAAGGCCAACACAGAGAGACUGAGGGGGAGCUUCUUCCCGCAGGCGAUAAGGUCUUUCAACCACAACACCAUGCAGAACUAAUACAAUCUUUCUAACAUCCAUGGACACUAUGGACACAUUCACGCACACCUACACUUACAUAUUCAUGUUUACAUUCUGGACCAUUGCACAAAGACACUUUAAGUUUAAUAAGACACUUUUUAUGCAUAUUUGCAGACCCACACUCUUUCUUUCACCAAAUUUCAAAUUUUUAAAUGUUCUAUUGUACAGUAUAUUCUAUUUUUAUUUCUAUUUUCUAUUAUGUAUAGAAUAUUUCUAUUUUAAUUUCUAUUUUUAUCCUAGUUAAAUGUAAUUUUUCUAUCGUAUUUCUUUUACUUAUAUUUAUUUCUUAUUAUAAGCUUUAAUUCUCUUUUAAGGUCACUGGCCGUCGUAUAAGCAUGUCACUGCAUAUCGUACUAUGUAUGACUGUGUAUGUGACAAAUAAAAUUUUAAUUUUAAUUUUAGAUGUAAGCUAGGAUAUAGAGCCUGAGUUUUGUUCUUCAGUAUUUUUUUUUUUGUUGGAUUUAAGUGCAGGAUUCACCCGAAAGUUUGUACUAUAGCCCAACAAUGCCGCAAAUAAAAGAACGGGCAUGCAUCGAUGUAACACCUGUUCUGCCACGGUCCCUGGGAAUUAGAUCAGGUUCCCCGGAUUACUCAGCCGUCGCUUUGUCUCCCCCUAGUGUGUCUGUAUUGUUAUAUGUUUCACUUAAUCAAUGAAUCAAGGUCACCUGUGUCAUUCCCCUGUGUGUCUAUUUAAACCAGACGAACCCGUAGCCACCUGUCCGUGCACUGUUGUUUCUGUUAGUGUUUUUGGGUGUUUUAAUCUCUCUUUGUUUGUCUGGCAUAGGAUUGAAAGGUGUCUGCAGGGGUAAAGGUCGGCAUCCACUCCAACCAUUAAAAGAGGUUGGAGGAUCAUUGCUGGGGAAUCCUCAGCUCGCCGGUUAUGCGGUGCUGUUUGCAUGUUGUUCUUUAAGUUCGCCUCGUGUUUGUUUUCGCCGACUACCUGCAGACCCUGUCUGGACACCCUGUCUUUUCCCCUUUUUUUGUGUUAUUGGGGCUGUUUUUGUUCAAUAAACAUCGAUUCAAAGUUCUUCCUGCAUCUGCGUCUGUCUCCUCGCCUCGGAAAACAUGACAAUCGACCAGUUUGUCCAUCUCAUCAUUACACGAGCAUGAAUUAACAGGCUGUUACGCUGUCGCAAGCAACAUUAAAAUAAAGCGGAGAAGCUUUAAUAAUUUAGAGGAGAACAACAGUCUUUCUGUAAAUGUGUGUGUGUUUAAUUUAGACGAAAGAAGAAAGUUUUACUGUGUAAGAUAAAAAGGGGGAGACAGGAGGGGCUGAAAGUAAGAGUCUCUACUCUAGCCUCACACAGCGCCUGCGC